rnacentral:rRNA from 1 species
GAUGAACGCUGGCGGCGUGCCUAAUACAUGCAAGUCGAGCGAACGGACGAGAAGCUUGCUUCUCUUAUUUUAGCGGCGGACGGGUGAGUAACACGUGGAUAACCUACCUAUAAGACUGGGAUAACUUCGGGAAACCGGAGCUAAUACCGUAUAAUAUUUUGAACCGCAUGGUUCAAAAGUGAAAGACGGUCUUGCUGUCACUUAUAGAUGGAUCCGCGCUGCAUUAGCUAGUUGGUAAGGUAACGGCUUACCAAGGCAACGAUGCAUAGCCGACCUGAGAGAGAGAUCGGCCACACUGGAACUGAGACACGGUCCAGACUCCUACGGGAGGGCGCAGUAGGGAAUAUUCGGCAAUGGGAUAAAGACUCAAAGAGGAAAGCCGCGUAAGUGAUGAAGGUAAUAGGAUCGUAAAACUCUGUUAUUAGGGAAGAAAAUAUGUGUAAGUAACUGUGCACAUCUUGACGAUACCUAAUCAGAAAGCCACGGCUAACUACGUG